GGUGAACGCUGGCGGCGUGCCUAACACAUGCAAGUCGAGCGGUGCAGUUUGAAGCUUCGGUGGAAAGCUGCAUAGCGGCGGACGGGUGAGGAAAACGUAGGAACGUGCCCCUUGGAGUUGGAUAGCCACGGGAAACUGUGGGUAAACCGACAUAGACUCGAGAGAGUAAAGGCCGAAAGGCGCCAAGGGAGCGGCCUGCGGCCCAUCAGGUAGUUGGUAGUGUAAAGGACUACCAAGCCGACGACGGGUAGCCGGUCUGAGAGGAUGGCCGGCCACAAGGGCACUGAGAGACGGGCCCUACUCCUACGGGUGGCAGCAGUAGGGAAUAUUGGGCAAUGGGCGAAAGCCUGACCCAGCCAUGCCGCGUGAGUGAUGAAGGUCCUAGAGAUUGUAAAACUCUUUUCUGAGGAAAGAAUGAAUAGGGAAGGAAAUGUCCUUAUUUUGACGGUACCUCAGGAAUAAGGAACGGCUAACUCCGUG
rnacentral:rRNA from 1 species